GACGAACGCUGGCGGCGUGCUUAAUACAUGCAAGUCGAAGGAAGUGGCGCACGGGUGAGUAAUAUAUAGCUAAUCUGCCCCUUGCUGGAGGACAACAGUUAGAAAUGACUGCUAAUACUCCAUAGCAAGGGAUGAGACUAUAUCGUAUCAGCUAGUCGGUGGGGUAACGGCCUACCGAGGCUAUGACGCGUAACUUGUCUGAGAGGAUGAUCAGUCACAUUGGAACGGAGACACGGUCCAAACUCCUACGGGAGGCAGCAGUAGGGAAGAUUGCGCAAUGGGGGAAACCCUGACGAAGCAUCGCCGCGUGGAGGAUGACAUUUUCCGGAGCGGAAGUGCAUUUGGGUAGGGAAGCGGUACCUAACGAAUAAGCACCGGCUAACUCCGUGCCAGCAGCCGCGGUAAUUC
rnacentral:rRNA from 1 species